rnacentral:rRNA from 1 species
UGUGUAGGCGGUUCCUUAAGUUUGCUGUGAAAUCUCCCGGCUUAACCGGGAGGGUGCGGUGAAUACUGAGGGACUAGAGUACGGGAGAGGAAAGUGGAAUUCCUGGUGUAGCGGUGAAAUGCGUAGAUAUCAGGAGGAACACCGGUGGUGUAGACGGCUUUCUGGACCGUAACUGACGCUGAGACACGAAGGCGUGGGUAGCAAACA